UACAGAGGGUGCGAGCGUUAAUCGGAAUUACUGGGCGUAAAGCGUGCGUAGACGGUUAUUUAAGUCGGGUGUGAAAGCCCCGGGCUCAACCUGGGAAUUGCAUUCGAGACUGAAUAGCUAGGGUACGGUAGAGGGAAGCAGAAUUUCCGGUGUAGCGGUGAAAUGCGUAGAUAUCGGAAGGAACAUCAGUGGCGAAAGCGGCUUCCUGGACCAGUACCGACGUCAGGCACGAAAGCGUGGGGAGCAAACAG
rnacentral:rRNA from 1 species